UGGCGGCGUGCUUAACACAUGCAAGUCGAACGGUGAAGCCAAGCUUGCUUGGUGGAUCAGUGGCGAACGGGUGAGUAACACGUGAGCAACCUGCCCUGGACUCUGGGAUAAGCGCUGGAAACGGCGUCUAAUACUGGAUAUGAGGCGUGACCGCAUGGUCAUGUUUGGAAAGAAUUUCGGUCUGGGAUGGGCUCGCGGCCUAUCAGCUUGUUGGUGAGGUAAUGGCUCACCAAGGCGUCGACGGGUAGCCGGCCUGAGAGGGUGACCGGCCACACUGGGACUGAGACACGGCCCAGACUCCUACGGGAGGCAGCAGUGGGGAAUAUUGCACAAUGGGCGGAAGCCUGAUGCAGCAACGCCGCGUGAGGGAUGACGGCCUUCGGGUUGUAAACCUCUUUUAGCAGGGAAGAAGCGAAAGUGACGGUACCUGCAGAAAAAGCGCCGGCUAACUACGUGCCAGCAGCCGCGGUAAUACGUAGGGCGCAAGCGUUAUCCGGAAUUAUUGGGCGUAAAGAGCUCGUAGGCGGUUUGUCGCGUCUGCUGUGAAAUCCCGAGGCUCAACCUCGGGCCUGCAGUGGGUACGGGCAGACUAGAGUGCGGUAGGGGAGAUUGGAAUUCCUGGUGUAGCGGUGGAAUGCGCAGAUAUCAGGAGGAACACCGAUGGCGAAGGCAGAUCUCUGGGCCGUAACUGACGCUGAGGAGCGAAAGGGUGGGGAGCAAACAGGCUUAGAUACCCUGGUAGUCCACCCCGUAAACGUUGGGAACUAGUUGUGGGGACCAUUCCACGGUUUCCGUGACGCAGCUAACGCAUUAAGUUCCCCGCCUGGGGAGUACGGCCGCAAGGCUAAAACUCAAAGGAAUUGACGGGGACCCGCACAAGCGGCGGAGCAUGCGGAUUAAUUCGAUGCAACGCGAAGAACCCUUACCAAGGCUUGACAUAUACGAGAACGGGCCAGAAAUGGUCAACUCUUUGGGACACUCGUAAACAGGUGGUGCAUGGUU
rnacentral:rRNA from 1 species